GCUGCUUAAGAUAGACUGUAAGAAUUAUGAACUCCCAGUUCCAGGGCACAAACCCAGAAGGGCUGUGAGCGUCAGAACGGAAGCCUGGAUGCCCAAAUCAGCCUCGACUCUGUCCCAGUGCAGGUGGUGCCUGGGGGCCAGUUAGACGAGCGUGGGCUGAGCAGAACGCCCACUGGUGUCUUUGAGUUGGGAUCUGUGGUAGAGCCCUGCCUAGAGGAACUCUGUGGGAGAUGAGGCUGGAA
rnacentral:lncRNA from 1 species